AUUGAACGCUGGCGGCAUGCUUUACACAUGCAAGUCGAACGGUAACAGGUUAAGCUGACGAGUGGCGAACGGGUGAGUAAUGCAUCGGAACGUGCCCGGUCGUGGGGGAUAACGCAGCGAAAGCUGCGCUAAUACCGCAUACGAUCUAAGGAUGAAAGCGGGGGACCGUAAGGCCUCGCGCGAUCGGAGCGGCCGAUGUCAGAUUAGGUAGUUGGUGGGGUAAAGGCUCACCAAGCCAACGAUCUGUAGCUGGUCUGAGAGGACGACCAGCCACACUGGGACUGAGACACGGCCCAGACUCCUACGGGAGGCAGCAGUGGGGAAUUUUGGACAAUGGGCGAAAGCCUGAUCCAGCAAUGCCGCGUGCAGGAAGAAGGCCUUCGGGUCGUAAACUGCUUUUGUACGGAGCGAAAAGGUCUCCUCUAAUACAGGGGGCUCAUGACGGUACCGUAAGAAUAAGCACCGGCUAACUACGUGCCAGCAGCCGCCGCCG
rnacentral:rRNA from 1 species